CCCAGGUGGCGUCUCGGGUCUGCCUGUGCGGGUGGCACUGAUUACCAUUCUCUGUAGAGAGAAGAGAACACCAAUAUAGUGACCACCUGAGCUCAGAGCAGCUGAGAAACCAUGAGUGGACUCUGAAGCUGGGCCAGCUGCAGGAGGACAUCUUGGAACUCAAGUCAGUGGAAGUGGUGCAAUCCUCCAGGCUGCAGAAACAGCAAUCAGCCCCGGGCAGAGAUCUGGCACUGCCCCGGGAAGCUGAGUGGAGGUGUCAGUGCUGGAUGGGCUGAGGAGCACUCUGAGAAAGAGAGUGGAGGGGGAAGAGAUCCCGGAGGGCUGCUCAUUCUCUCCCAGAGGGUGGUGG
rnacentral:lncRNA from 1 species